AUUGAACGCUGGCGGCAUGCCUUACACAUGCAAGUCGAACGGUAACAGGUCUUCGGAUGCUGACGAGUGGCGAACGGGUGAGUAAUACAUCGGAACGUGCCCGAUCGUGGGGGAUAACGAAGCGAAAGCUUUGCUAAUACCGCAUAAGAUCUACGGAUGAAAGCAGGGGACCGCAAGGCCUUGCGCGAACGGAGCGGCCGAUGGCAGAUUAGGUAGUUGGUGGGAUAAAAGCUUACCAAGCCGACGAUCUGUAGCUGGUCUGAGAGGACGACCAGCCAAACUGGGACUGAGACACGGCCCAGACUCCUACGGGAGGCAGCAGUGGGGAAUUCUGGACAAUGGGCGAAAGCCUGAUCCAGCCAUGCCGCGUGCAGGAUGAAGGCCUUCGGGUUGUAAACUGCUUUUGUACGGAACGAAAAGACUCUUUCUAAUAAAGAGGGUCCAUGACGGUACCGUAAGAAUAAGCACCGGCUAACUACGUGCCAGCCGCCGCCGUAACAC
rnacentral:rRNA from 1 species